GUACGGAGGGGUUAGCGUUGUUCGGAAUUACUGGGCGUAAAGCGCGCGUAGGCGGAUUAGUCAGUUAGAGGUGAAAUCCCAGGGCUCAACCCUGGAACUGCCUUUAAUACUGCUAGUCUUGAGUUCGAGAGAGGUGAGUGGAAUUCCGAGUGUAGAGGUGAAAUUCGUAGAUAUUCGGAGGAACACCAGUGGCGAAGGCGGCUCACUGGCUCGAUACUGACGCUGAGGUGCGAAAGUGUGGGGAGCAAACAGGAUUAGAUACCCUGGUAG
rnacentral:rRNA from 1 species